CCAGACUCCUACGGGAGGCAGCAGUGGGGAAUAUUGCACAAUGGGGGAAACCCUGAUGCAGCAACGCCGCGUGAGUGAUGACGGCCUUCGGGUUGUAAAGCUCUGUCUUCAGGGACGAUAAUGACGGUACCUGAGGAGGAAGCCACGGCUAACUACGUGCCAGCAGCCGCGGUAAUACGUAGGUGGCGAGCGUUGUCCGGAUUUAUUGGGUUUAAAGGGUGCGCAGGCGGAGGCACAAGUCAGCGGUAAAAUCGCGGGGCUCACCCCCGCUCCGCCGUUGAAACUGUGUCCCUUGAGUGCGCGAAGGGUAGGCGGAAUGCGUGGUGUAGCGGUGAAAUGCAUAGAUAUCACGCAGAACUCCGAUCGCGAAGGCAGCCUACCGGCGCGCAACUGACGCUCAUGCACGAAAGCGUGGGUAUCGAACAGGAUUAGAUACCCCGGUA
rnacentral:rRNA from 1 species